AUUCAAUAUCAAUAUUUGUCAAAGUUAAUCUAAUAAAAAAAAACACAGUGACGUCAGUUCCAAAGCGCUAUUGUGUCAGACUCAUCUCCCGCUGAAGAGGAUCCAGCGACAUCAAGAGAUUACGGAAAAUCACGCGAGAUAACUGGCUUGCACCUUGUUGGGUUUUUUCAAGGGCAGAGGGGAGAUUCCUGGCGUGCAUCUACUUAAUUUGAAGAAGAACAUCACCUGUCUGUAAUCCACCUGCGAAGACACUGCUGAGGUCAGACGAGAGUGCAUCCUCAAAUGUCUGUGUGUACCUAAAUGAAGAUCCAGAGAAGCUGGUGAGGGAGUACAUGGACGUUGAUGAAUGCGCAGAAAUGGCCAAAGCCGAGGCUGUCCUCGGAAUCGUCAUUUGAGCAGAGGGUGCAGAGGCUGCCGAUGCACAUCUGGAUGUUGGGAUUGUCCUGGAGGAGGUGGAAGUUAUGAACAGCUUGGGCAGUGUAUCUUCUGCAAUAGUGAUGCUGCUGGGACUAAUCUAUGCACUAAACUUGAGCUACCCUCAAGUUUAGUGCGUUCAGCACUCAACUUGCUCAGUAACUCAAGCAUACCUUUGAAGUAAUACAGAAAAUAAUAAUGAAAUUGGAUGGAAAGAACUUAUCAAAGAAAGCACAAGUUCUCAAUAUGAAACUCGCUGCUAAGUUGAGCAAAGUUUCACAUGGAAAAUGAGUGUUUAAAGUCUGCAGUA